rnacentral:misc_RNA from 1 species
CUGACUUCACUGACGCAGGGGCAUUGUACGAACCGUCAGGUUAGGAUGUUAUGAUAUGAUAGGUUUGAAAUUGCUUAAUGCAUCAAUAUAUACACAAUUAUCUAAAUAAUUGGAAGAAAAAACGUAAAAAAAGCAAUAAAAAAUUAAUUUCCAAUUUCACUUAACACUUCGGCGCAAUUUUUAAUAUGUCAAAACGUUGGGGCACUGACUAUGUCGUCACAGAACAUCGCGAUUUGCAGGCGAAUACAAUGGCGAUUGACGCAACCGGAGGUUAUGUUUUACUGGCAGGGCGUCGAUAUUUUGCUGUGAAAAAUUUAAAUGAUGAAAUGGAUGGGCUACGGAAAUUCCAACGACAGAGCAAGUAUGAAGUUGGUUCCGCUGAAUGGAACCCCACAUUGACCAAUAGUCACUUAUGUGCAAUAUCUAGCAACACAAGGGUAGAGAUAUUAAGUUUUGCAGGAGGAGGUGGGCAGGAAUUACAGACCACCCACAGUCUGAGAGCUCACACACGAGUGGUCAGUGAUUUGAAUUGGCAUCCCAAGGAACCUUCAAUUGUUGCUUCGUGCAGCAUUGAUACUUUUAUCCACAUUUGGGAUAUACGCGAUCAGCGACGACCCUGUUUAUCUCUAUCAGCAGUUGCCGGUGCGUCCCAAGUUCAAUGGAAUGCUUUGUUACCACACACUUUAGCAACUGCUCAUGACGGUGACGUAAAAAUAUGGGAUCAGCGCAAAGGAAAUAGCCCUGUACAAUAUAUAGCUGCACAUUUAACAAAGAUACACGGGUUGGAUUGGUGUCCGUUUCAGCAAAACCAGCUGGCAACUUCUAGUCAGGAUUGUACUGUAAAAAUUUUCGAUAUUGUGAACCCUCGCAGAGCUGAAAGUAUUCUGACGACUAAUUCCCCUGUUUGGAGAGCACGCUAUACGCCGUUCGGAGAAGGUCUUGUAACCAUCGUCGUACCACAACUGCGGAGAGGGGAAAACAGUUUACUAUUAUGGAACACAUCAAACUUCAAUGCACCAAUAUAUACUUUUGUUGGGCAUACGGACGUUGUACUGGAAUUUCAAUGGCGUUACCCGAAAACAGAUAUAAAUGAUUACGAGUUGAUCACGUGGUCGAAAGAUCAAUGCUUGAGGAUCUUCAAAAUAGAUCCUUUCCUCAAGAAGUUAUGUGGUCACGACAUGGACGAUGCGACUUCUGUUUAUACGCAGUACUCGGAGAACACGAGAACUUUGCGAUCCGUACAACAAAUACAGCUCCAUGAUUCAGAAAAUGAACCUGACAUCAAUUGCGUUACGACAAAACUCGAUGGACCUGUGGUACAUCACGAAAUGCCGGAAACUGAAAAGCAAGCUGCUUCUCCUACUCAGCCAAAGACUUUGCAGCAAGAAUUCUCUCUCAUCAAUAUGAAUAUACCGAAUAUAGAAGUAAAUGCAAUGGACGCACUGGAAAGGAGCUGCACGGUUACUGCUUGCAAUAAAAAUUACAAUGUUAUAUUGAAAGUGAAUUUUCCGGGAAACUAUCCACAAAGUGCUCAGCCAACGUUUCAGUUCUGUCCAGGAACAACGGUGGAUAAUGCGACUAUGGCUAAAUUGUUAAAAGUUUUGAAACAAACGGCCCAACAAAGAGUUCGAAAGAAUCGAACGUGUCUUGAACCGUGUCUACGGCAACUUAUUAGUACCUUGGAACAGACAUGUGUAAAAGAUGAAUCGGAACCUCUUCGUUUGGGUUACCAUUUACAGAGGAACGAAGAUUUUUUGAACUCAACAAACAUAUACACGAACUACCAGGAUACUUACAUACCAUUUCCUAGAACUUCUGGAGUAAAGUUUAGCUGCGUCGGUAUCCUCGUAUGUUUUGGUCGUUCGUCUUAUCCCAGAAAAUCUUCGAUGAAGCCAGAAGGAGCGACACCAAGAGCCUUAUCGGCUCUAGGAGCGGGUUUGGUUAAUGGGGUGCCUUCACCCUUCAUGAGCAUGUAUCCAAACUCGUACGGUCAGUCGGCUGAUGCAUUAUCCAUCAGUUCUUUCUAUUUUCAAGACAGGAAAGGAACGCGCAAACUCCCUCAUGGAUCGAAUCGUUCCCAAAACAGACCAUGCUACAAAAAUCAUUAUUCCAUGGUAAUGAUUUACGAUGCCUCAUCACUGUUUUUCGUCAGUACGGAACUAGCUGAAAAAUACGUAAUCAACAUUACCGAUAUUCCGGCAAUGUGUCAGUACAACGCAAAUAUUGCUGCAACUUUAGAGCGGCCGGAUUUAGUGCAAGCCUGGUGUUUAGCAGCACUUGUUAUUUCUCAGCCACUGUCAAAUGCUAAUCAAAUUUGUCAAGUACCAGAUAUGGAUGCUCCUUGGCCUUUGCAUCCUUUUGGUCAAAAUUUGAUUCACUCCUUAAUUCAGCAUUAUGCGAGUCAAUCUGAUAUUCAAAUGGCUGGUAUGCUGAGUUGUGCCUUCAGUUAUCGAUCGGAAAAUCCUGACGUGAGCCAAUCGCGAAUUCUCAGCAAAUCCGUCAACGCUAGUACAUAGACUCAACCUGUGCAUCCAGAGUAAUGGAGGCCAUUUUGAACAAGAAAUGCGCUAGAUCAAGCAGUAACAGGCGUUAAAAAACAAACGGCCCUUCUCAGGACCAAGUGGGCCCAGCAAUUUUUGUAUCGUUUGCGGACAUGGAGGACAUAUGAAUCAUUUGGCAACAUGGUUCACCACCGAAACUUUAUGUCCAGCUGGUUGUGGUUGUAAUUGUGUACAGGAAAGUAGUAUUGUAUUAAAAAUGUAAAUAAAAAAGUACAAAUAA